rnacentral:rRNA from 1 species
GACGAACGCUGGCGGCGUGCUUAACACAUGCAAGUCGAACGGAAAGGCCUCUUUCGGGCGGUACUCCAGUGGCGAACGGGUGAGUAACACGUGAGUAACCUGCCCUUGACUUUGGGAUAACUUCUGGAAACUGCGGCUAAUACCGGAUAGGAGCUCCUGCUGCAUGGUGGGGGUUUGAAAGUUUUGGGCGUUUGGGAGUGACUCCAGGCUCAGUAGCUUUUUUGUUGGGUAGUUGCUUACCAAGGCUUUGACCGGUAGGCGGCCUGGGGGGGGGGACGGGCAAAUUGGGGCGGAGAUACCGCCCCGAAUUCUCAGGGAGGGCGCAGUGGGGGACAUUGGACAAUUGGGGGAAGGCUGAUGGAGGAACGGCGUGGGCGGGAUGAAGGGCUUUGGGUUGUAAAACGCUUUCGAUCAUGAAGAAGGUUUAUGUGACGGUAGCGGCUGAAGAAGCGCCGGCUAACUACGUG